rnacentral:rRNA from 1 species
UACGUAGGGUGCGAGCGUUGUCCGGAAUUAUUGGGCGUAAAGAGCUUGUAGGCGGUCUGUCGCGUCUGCUGUGAAAAUCCGGGGCUCAACCCCGGACUUGCAGUGGGUACGGGCAGACUAGAGUGUGGUAGGGGAGACUGGAAUUCCUGGUGUAGCGGUGAAAUGCGCAGAUAUCUGGAGGAACACCGGUGGCGAAGGCGGCAUCCUGGACCGGUAUUGACGCUGAGGAGCGAAAGCCAGGGGAGCAAAGCGGGG